CCUACGGGAGGCAGCAGUGAGGAAUAUUGGUCAAUGGGCGCAAGCCUGAACCAGCCAUGCCGCGUGCAGGAAGACGGUCCUAUGGAUUGUAAACUGCUUUUAUUUAGGAAUAAACCCCCAUACGUGUAUGGGGCUGAAUGUACUAAAAGAAUAAGCACCGGCUAACUCCGUGCCAGCAGCCGCGGUAAU
rnacentral:rRNA from 1 species